CUCCAAAUCAAUAUAAUUAAUUAUAUCAUGCACACACAUCGCUAGAAUCUAGAGAUCAGAGGGCAUCAAUAAAGAAAACUUAUGACAUAGGCGUGCACCAAAGCUAGAUAAAUCUGAAGCUGAUUCCGGGACGUCCAAGAAAUUCAUCCCUGAACCUGGUAAGCACUGGAUUAUGUUCAGUGAGUUAUUUUUCACAAUAUUCAUCCUUCAGGCGAUCAAAGUGCAAAUAUUGUGGAAUCACACCUACUCACCCACCCUAAAAGGUCCUCCUUCCUUUAUGAAAGAGAAAAGACUAGAGAACUGCGAAAAUGGAAGUUUCAUGGGUUGGUUGUUCCAGCUUCCUUGGCUUUUUGAUUGGGCAGAACAUUGGACAUCUUCUCUGGAUCCAAAAUUCGUCCAGUCAUUGGAUCAACUGGACGUGUGUCGCGAGGUCCACCUUUACGCCCCAUCGCCACCAUUGGUGGUGGGGGUAGUAACCCCGCUCUGAAAAGGAUGCGUUGGACAGGAUCUGAAGGCUGAGCACCCACUGAUAACCAAUACCUGUAGAAACCAGCAGAAUAAAUUAACUAAAAUAUAGAUAACAAAUUCUGCUAUUUUGCUCCCUUAAUUUUAUAAUGUAAAUGGCAGCAAUUAUUAAAAGCUUGUAGACUAAAAGGAAAUAACAACUUUUUCGUCCUUUCACUUUAGCCAAGGCAAAUAACAUAAUCGAUUAAUAUACAGCUUUUAAUUUACAAUAAUGAAACAAGUAAAUUAGAUUCUAAAAUUCUAGAAAACACAAAUCUAAAGAAGCAUAUUAGAAAGAGGUAAAAAAAAAAACCCACAAUUUACACUAGGUGGAAAGAAACGACAGCCAAACUACAAUGUUGACCAGAAAAUUUCAGAUCAAUGAUGACCAUAAAGUUACAUAUAUAGUUUCACAAGAGUUUUAUGUAUUUCCAGGAAAGGAAUAAAGCGUAAUACUAAAAAAUCCAAAUCUGAAUAUCCUUCAGUCAAAAGCUACUUUAAAUUCAGUACAGCUCAAUUCUUUAGUUAAAUUUGUUUUAGCAUAUGCACAAUGCUAUUGGGCCACAAAUUCUGAACAUCCUUUUACCCCCUUCUUGUCAAAGAGGAACACUUUAGCAUUCAUGAACAAUAAUCUUGAUUCUGUUCUUAUUUAUUAGACCUUCUGGGAAUUCAAAAUCUAUAUAAGUUUGAUGCAAAAGAUUUUUUUAGUACCCCCAAUCACUUUGUUAUGAGUUUGAAUUUCUGCAGUGUUUAUAGAAGUCAAAGCUCUAGGAUGGAUUAUGGAAAUAGUGACAGGCUGUGAUGAUGGAGGAUAAGUUCAGCCUCAAAAGACAUGAGAUAAUAUACUCCUUAACCAGAAAUCUUCUAAAUAAAAAGUAAUUAUGCAGUAUGCACUCAUGCACUUUGUAAAAAGCAUUUGAAUAUGGAUAUGGAAAAAAAAUGGAAAUAAAGUUUCAAGAAAUCGAUUAAUACUUCUAAAUGGGACAUAUAACGAAACAUAUGAACAAAUACACUGAUUUUGGGGGUAGUAAAAUAUAAGCCUACUUCACUCUCUCAAAAUUAAGACCCAUCCGUUUGCCUCCGUCUUGACCUGGAAGGGGAUUGUAGUAACCAAGGACUUCGAGAUGUUUGCCAUCUCUUGGGGAUCUGCUAUCAGCGGCCAUGACCCGAUAAAAUGGUUUGUUUUUGCAUCCGAAUCUCGAUAAUCGGAUCCUCACCACCAUCUUCUCUACUUUGGGAUUAAUUUCACAAGGAAAUUCGACAGGGUAACAAGUUAGCCUUCGAACUCACUAAAAUGAUAAAAAGGUGAACGACAAUGGUGCGGCUGCUGCAAUCGGAGGAGGGUUCAGGGUUUGUAAGAGGAAUUCGCAAAAUGGAUCAGUGAAAAAUUGUGAUUGAACCACACUUCUAACGUGGGCGCAAACGCUCAAGCCCUAAACAACGUAAUAUGUUAUUUAUCAAACGACGUAGUCUAG
rnacentral:misc_RNA from 1 species